AUGACCCCGGAGUCCCCUUCCACAGUCCUGUGGGCACGCGCGUGUUCCCACGCGGAAGGGCACAGCGGGCCAUUAUCAUUUCUUCCCGAGGCAGAAGGAGGUAGAAGAGACGUGCGGGUUGCCGCGUCAGGAACGCAAGCCGCACCGCGUAAUUUUGGGGCUCUCAUCCAGGAUAGAACCGUAGGGGGAGCAAAGCGCCCAGGAACGAUCCUUCUGCGGAGAGCCAAGAGCCACCGGUCCGAUCGACCUGCUUGCUCCGGGGGCUUCCCUGGCACUCGGACCCGGCUGGAAGCUCCGGCCCCGGGAACUUUCAUUCCGCAGCCUCGGAGGCCGCACGGGUCGGGGCCCGGAGCCCGAGAAGACGCCCCCCCCCCACACCGCUGGCCGAGGCAAGGCCUCUGGCCCGGGAGCGUAGCGGGGUUGCCACGCGCGUCCCACCCGGGGCCGAGCGCCGUUCUCUGGGCGGCCACGGGCUCAAGAAGAGCCUCGAGGAAGAGUUCCCGCCCAGUGCGGCCUGGACCUGCUCCCAGCCUCCACUCCGAAGAGCAGCAGGCCGGAUGGUCGCCCGGGACAAGGCGGUCCGCACGGCAGCGCCGCUUUCACGAGGCUGCGAGGCGCCCCUUUGCGAAACGCGCUUCUGCCCGCCGGCUCCCUGGCUGCGGCUACGGCCCGGCCGUGCGAACCGCCCUCUGUCUGCAGGCCAUUAACUGGUGCCCCCGGCACAGUGGACCCCCUGCAGAAGCACCGGCAGCUGCCCCCCGCCGCACCACUGACUGCUGGAUAGUCCGGGCCGUCCCCGCAGGCCGUGGGCAGCCUCUCGGUCCCUCCCUCCCGCCUGUGGCCAGGCUGGGUUCUGCGGGCGGGGCGGGGGGUCUGCGGCACCAAACUGCAGCGUUACUCAGCGGCUGCUUGGAACGGAAAUGUGGCCCAGCAUCGGGGGGGGGGGACGCCUCUGUUCUCAGAGCUCACUCGACCCUUGCACGCGAGCGUGCGACUGGAGGCGCGCGCUUCUGCGCUCCCGUCGGGGCCGAGGUGCAUUUCUUUUGCCUGGCCCGGCGGUCCCCCUGGCAGCGGGGAACGGCUAGGCAGGGGGGCUCCCGGCUGCCCUUGCUUGUUCACACGGGCAAUGCUCCGCUUUCGCUGCGCUUCCUCUCCAUCUUUCCCUGUCACAAAGCAGAGGGAAGCAGCGGGAGCAGCGAAACCGCCUCUUGCUAG
rnacentral:lncRNA from 1 species